GAACAGUCGUAGUUCAAAGGCCGGACCGAUCCGCCUCAAACACGCGUGUGCGCUUUCGGAUGAGUGUGUGUGUAGCGUGGGUACUUCUUCGAGUUUGUUUUAGUUUUGUUCCGUAUUUAUAUGAUCUAUCGCAUUGUCGCGUCUUGUUUUAAAGAUGUCCGCGGACGCGUCGAAGCGCGGCCACUUGAUCCUCCUGAUCUGUCGUCAUUUAAAGGAGAGCGGGUUGCUGGAUGCAGCUGAGGAGCUGAGGAAGCAUGCACCUCAGGUGGAAUCGGGCACCUCUGCGUCCUUGAUGGACAUUUAUACUUCAUGGUUGGAAAAGUCCAAUGGGUUGACCAAGAGGAGACGGAAAGCAGACCCAAAGAGCAGCAGUGAGACCUCGGACGACGAGGAUGGAGUGACCCUCGCUAAAGACACCGAAAAAAUUAUCGAAUCAAACUCUGGUGAAGACUCGUGGGAGUGCAGUUAAAACUACAGUUCCCAGCAAGCCACAGAGUGGCAGCAGUGAUACGGAUUCAGAGAGCGACGAGGGAACUACAGGGAGAACAAAGCCCCCAGCGAGACCGACCACCCCGACCCAGGCUGUCAAACCCCCAGUGAAGGCAGCGGCUGGUCCUACCAAGUCCAAACCCCCGGCCUCGUCCAGCAGUGAGUCUAGUGAUGAAGAUGGAGCCGCUGAUCCACCGCAGGAGGCCUCCACCACCACCACCAGCCCGGCUGCUCCAGGCACACCGGCGCCCAAGACUAAAGCGCUCAGAGCUGCUUCUUCAGCCAAGAAGACCCCGCUGGCUGCCGCCACGCCCGCCAAGACCCCCGCUGCCAGGACCCCCGCUGCCAAGACCCCCGCUGCCAAGACCCCGCCGCCAGGACCCCACCGCCAAGA
ensembl:lncRNA